UUCAAGGUGGCCCCAGCCACUGCGAAUGAAAAGGGAACUUCGGUGAAAAUCCGAGACUAUACCCGUAGCUGUAAGUUUCUUACCCGUCUGUGCUUUCGUUUAUAACCACUGCCUGAAAAGGUGGGAAGGUUGCACAGAUGAAACAAGUCAGAAGACCUGCCUUUUUCU
rnacentral:ncRNA from 1 species